AGUGAACGCUGGCGGUAGGCCUAACACAUGCAAGUCGAACGGCAGCACAGUAAGAGCUUGCUCUUACGGGUGGCGAGUGGCGGACGGGUGAGGAAUACAUCGGAAUCUACUUUUUCGUGGGGGAUAACGUAGGGAAACUUACGCUAAUACCGCAUACGACCUACGGGUGAAAGCAGGGGAUCUGACCUUGUGCGAUUGAAUGAGCCGAUGUCGGAUUAGCUAGUUGGCGGGGUAAAGGCCCACCAAGGCGACGAUCCGUAGCUGGUCUGAGAGGAUGAUCAGCCACACUGGAACUGAGACACGGUCCAGACUCCUACGGGAGGCAGCAGUGGGGAAUAUUGGACAAUGGGCGCAAGCCUGAUCCAGCCAUACCGCGUGGGUGAAGAAGGCCUUCGGGUUGUAAAGCCCUUUUGUUGGGAAAGAAAAGCAGCAGGUUAAUACCCCGCUGUUCUGACGGUACCCAAAGAAUAAGCACCGGCUAACUUCGUG
rnacentral:rRNA from 1 species